UACGUAGGUGGCAAGCGUUACUCGGAAUCACUAGGCGUAAAGCGCAGGUAGGAGGUUUGGUAAGUCUGUUGUGAAAGCUCCUGGCUUAACUGGGAGAGGUCAACGGAAACUACCAGGCUUGAGUGUGGUAGAGGUAGCUGGAAUUCCCGGUGUAGCGGUGAAAUGCGUAGAUAUCGGGAGGAAUACCUAUGGCGAAAGCAGGCUACUGGACCAUCACUGACUCUGAUCUGCGAAAGCUAGGGGAGCAAACAGG
rnacentral:rRNA from 1 species